AGCGAACGCUGGCGGCAGGCUUAACACAUGCAAGUCGAACGGGCACUUCGGUGCUAGUGGCAGACGGGUGAGUAACGCGUGGGAACGUGCCUUUCGGUUCGGAAUAAUCCAGGGAAACUUGGACUAAUACCGGAUACGCCCUUCGGGGGAAAGAUUUAUCGCCGAAAGAUCGGCCCGCGUCUGAUUAGCUAGUUGGUGAGGUAAGGGCUGACCAAGGCGACGAUCAGUAGCUGGUCUGAGAGGAUGAUCAGCCACACUGGGACUGAGACACGGCCCAGACUCCUACGGGAGGCAGCAGUGGGGAAUAUUGGACAAUGGGCGAAAGCCUGAUCCAGCCAUGCCGCGUGAGUGAUGAAGGCCUUAGGGUUGUAAAGCUCUUUUGUCCGGGAAGAUAAUGACUGUACCGGAAGAAUAAGCCCCGGCUAACUUCGUGCCAGCCGCCGCAGUAACAC
rnacentral:rRNA from 1 species